GAUGAAGAACGUAGCGAAAUGCGAUAAGUAAUGUGAAUUGCAGAAUUCAGUGAAUCAUCGAAUCUUUGAACGCAUCUUGCGCUCCUUGGUAUUCCGAGGAGCAUGCCUGUUUGAGUGUCAUUUAACUUAUCAACCACAUUGGAUAUUUUUUUUCCGAUGCCGGCUUGGAUGUGGGGGUUGUUUGCAGGCUUUUUGUAACAAAAAAGGUCGGCUCCCCUGAAAUGUAUUAGUGGUAUCUGAGGCUAUUACUAUUAGGUGUGAUAAUUAUCUAUGCCUUUUGGGUAUGCCGCAUGAACAGAUUAUGCUGCUUCUAACGAAAACUAUUUUGAUGAAUUUGACCUCAAAUCAGGUAGGACUACCCGCUGAACUUAAGCAUAUCAAUAAGCGGAGGA
rnacentral:misc_RNA from 1 species